rnacentral:rRNA from 1 species
UACGUAGGCAGCGAGCGUUGUUCGGAGUUACUGGGCGUAAAGGGUGUGUAGGCGGUUGCUUAAGUUUGGUGUGAAAUCUCCCGGCUCAACUGGGAGGGUGCGCCGAAUACUGAGUGACUCGAGUGCGGGAGAGGAAAGUGGAAUUCCUGGUGUAGCGGUGAAAUGCGUAGAUAUCAGGAGGAACACCGGUGGUGUAGACGGCUUUCUGGACCGUAACUGACGCUGAAACACGAAAGCGUGGGUAGCAAACAGG